rnacentral:tRNA from 1 species
GCGCCGAUGGUUUAGUGGUGGUAAAAUUCUCCGUUGCCAUCAUCAUCAUGCAGCGUCGGGGAGCCGGGGGUUCGAUUCCCCCUCGGCGCA